rnacentral:rRNA from 1 species
CACGUAGGUGGCAUCGUAAGUCAAAGGUGAAAGCCCUCGGCUCAACCGAGGAAUUGCCUUUGAAACUGCUUUGCUUGAGUCCGGGAGGGGGGAGCGGAACUCCUAGUGUAGCGGUGAAAUGCGUAGAUACUAGGAGGAACACCGGUGGCGAAGGCGGCUCCCUGGACCGGUACUGACACUGAGGUGCGAAAGCGUGGGUAGCAAACAGGAUUAGAUACCCUGGUAGUCC